GGGAGCGGAUGAGGCCUGGUGGCUUCUGCGGUCUUCAAAACCGUUUGCGGGGCAUUAACCUGUCCUGGGUGGGUUCGAUUCCUACACGCUCCC
rnacentral:tRNA from 1 species